AAUUAUUAUAUUUUUACUAUUAUGCCCAUAUUGAAUAGAUAAAAGUAUAUUAAAAAAUAACUAUUGGAGGAAAAAAAGCCAUAGAGGAAAAACAAAAAAAAAAAUAACAUUGUUAAAACAAAAUGGCACAAAAUGCUCUUUAAGCAAUUUCCACAAAAAUCCUCACAAAUCUUUUCCUUUUCACAAAACAAGGGAAUUGGAAAUUAAAUUUUUUUCUUUCUUCCUUUUUGCUGCCAACAAAACAAGGGAAUUGCCCUUUUUCCCUUUUCCUACCAUUUUCCUCUCCCUCACUACAAAAAAGCCCUUAAACACUUGGAGCAUGUAGUCCUUCAAAAAAUAAAAAAAAAUUAUCUAAAAACCAGAACACUGAAAACUACAAUUGCUUACCAUAGAUUUUUUUAGAUUUUUCAGAAGUCAAAACCCAAAAACUCCAUUUUUGAAGCAUUAUAAUUAUGCCAUCCUUUAUAUAUUGCCCAUAAACUAAAAUUAAAAUUCAUAUUAUCAUCCACUUUGGCCUUCAAACCUAGAUUUUUCAAUGUCUAUCACUCUAUAAGCUGCAAACAUCUUCUUCAACAACCAAAAACUGAAAUUCUCAUUUUCUCAAAGUCCAGCCUACCAAAUAAGCAAUUGUAGACAGCUCUCUCUGUCGUUCAUUGCAUUGCCAUGUAAUCCAGCAAUAUGACACUCUCACAAACAAGUUUAUCAGGAAUGUAAAACAAUUUUAAGGAGAAGCGUCGCAUUAACAAGAUAAUCCUAUUGAUUUGAGUCUG
rnacentral:misc_RNA from 1 species